rnacentral:lncRNA from 1 species
UUUUCUAAACUGUUUUCUUUCAAAACAAAAAGAAAUAGUAAUCAACUAAACUUUUAGUCUAAAGUUUACAAAAUGGAAAUGUGCUGUGAACUUAACAAUCUACGUGAAAUGGUGGUUCAAUCUAUAAGUCAAGAAUCUACCAAAGUGUUGUCUGAAAUAGCAACCUGCAAGAAUAUUUUGGAUUUUCUGGAUAUAAAUGAUGGCAUUAUUUCUCUCAAAUAUCCUGAUUUUGUGUUAACCAAUAGCCAUUUUCUACAAAUUUGCAAAGACAAAAAUAAA